UACGAGGGGGGCAAGCGUUGUCCGGAAUUAUUGGGCGUAAAGGGCUCGUAGGCGGUUUGUCGCGUCGGGAGUGAAAACACCGGGCUUAACUCGGUGCUUGCUUUCGAUACGGGCAGACUAGAGGUAUGCAGGGGAGAACGGAAUUCCUGGUGUAGCGGUGAAAUGCGCAGAUAUCAGGAGGAACACCGGUGGCGAAGGCGGUUCUCUGGGCAUUACCUGACGCUGAGGAGCGAAAGUGUGGGGAGCGAACAGG
rnacentral:rRNA from 1 species